rnacentral:rRNA from 1 species
UACGUAGGGGGCAAGCGUUGUCCGGAUUUAUUGGGCGUAAAGAGCGUGUAGGCGGCCAAGCAGGUCAGCUGUGAAAAACUCGAGGCUCAACCUCGAGACGUCGGUGGAAACCGUUUGGCUAGAGUCCGGAAGAGGAGAGUGGAAUUCCCGGUGUAGCGGUGAAAUGCGCAGAUAUCGGGAAGAACACCCGUGGCGAAGGCGGCUCUCUGGGACGGUACUGACGCUGAGACGCGAAAGCGUGGGGAGCGAACAGG